rnacentral:rRNA from 1 species
CAGCCGCCGCGGUAAUACAGAGGGUGCGAGCGUUAAUCGGAUUUACUGGGCGUAAAGCGUGUGUAGGUUGUUGUUCAAGUCAGUUGUGAAAUCCCUGGGCUCAAUCUGGGAACUGCUUCUGAGACUGAACGACUAGAGUACGGUAGAGGGUGGUGGAAUUUCCGGUGUAGCGGUGAGAUGCGUAGAUAUCGGAAGGAACAUCAAUGGCGAAGGCAGCCACCUGGGCCUGUACUGACACUGAGACACGAAAGCGUGGGGAUCAAACAGGAUUAGAUACCCCCGUAGUCCCUGUCUCUUAUAC